GUUUUUAGGGUUUCGUUUUGAUUCAUACUUAUAGUCGUAUGCUCCUGGUGUUCUUUAUUUCCUCUCCCCCUUUCCCGUUUAUUUAUUAGGGUUUCUCAUGAUUUCAGCCUCCAUUAUCUUUUCUCAAGACAUCAUAUGUUAGACUAAUGAGUCGGAAGACUCAAGAACGAUCUAGAAAAUGCUAGAUCAUGCAAGAAUAACUUGGAUAAUAUCAUAACAUCCUAGAAAUAUCUAGAACAUUAUAGAAUAGUGUAUCAUAAUAUGGAGUCUUGUAAAGAUAAUGUAGAUAUUGAUAGAACACUCUAGAAUAGUCGAGAAUAUACGGGACCUAGAAACUUCCCAUGAGGAGGUGUAAUGUCCCUAUAAAUAGGAAGGAGGUCUUAUUUGUAGAGACUAUCGAGAAGUCGUUGUAAUCUCUUGAGUUCUUAUAAUACAAACACUCUUUGUAUUCUUGAAAUGUUAGUCUCUUGCUUUCCGAUUUCGUUA